rnacentral:rRNA from 1 species
CAGUAGCCGCGGUAACACGAAGGGGGCUAGCGUUGUUCGGAUUUACUGGGCGUAAAGCGCACGUAGGCGGAUUCUUAAGUCAGGGGUGAAAUCCCGAGGCUCAACCUCGGAACUGCCUUUGAUACUGGGGAUCUUGAGUCCGGAAGAGGUGAGUGGAACUGCGAGUGUAGAGGUGAAAUUCGUAGAUAUUCGCAAGAACACCAGUGGCGAAGGCGGCUCACUGGACCAUUUCUGACGCUGAUGCACGAAAGCUAGUGGAGCAAACAGGAUUAGAUACCCCAGUAGUCCCUGUCUCUUAUAA